UUGGCUGGUGGUUGGUAAUCCUUAUGUUUGAGCUUAUUACCUUUGUUAAGCUAUCACUCGGCUGAUACUAGGUAAUGUCCUCUCCUAACAGAGUCAAGGUUUUUCCCAUAUUAAUGAUUGGUUUUCCUCGGCGAAGUAUUUCUUUGUAAAGCUUUCCCUGUUGGGUCUUUAGUGCGUUUUCUAACCAUGCAUCUGUUCUUUUUUAGCUUUUCCUUUUCCCCCUGUGGAAUUUUGUCUGUCCCUGCCUGGGUAUCCCUUUGGAAUAUGUCAUUCCUAUGCGGGAUUUCAGUCUCCUCUCAUCUCUAGCAGUUCUUUGUCUCUCG
rnacentral:lncRNA from 1 species